GUCCUCGUAGCUCAACCGGAUAGAGCUCUUGCCUUCUAAGCAAGCGGUUGUGGGUUCGAGUCCCGCCGAGGACGCCA
rnacentral:tRNA from 1 species